GCCCCCAUCGUUCAGUGGCCUAGGACACCUGCCUUUCACGCAGGCAACACGGGUUCGAAUCCCGUUGGGGGUG
rnacentral:tRNA from 2 species